UUAAUUUUCGCUUUAUGUUCUCCUGCAAACAUUAUUUAAAAUGUAAAAACCGAUCUGAUGUGAAAUCUUAAAGUCUAGCUCAGAGAAUUUUGGCUAUCUCUUCCUCAGAUCAGGCAAUGCGAUUUUUUUAAGGAAUUGUGCUUGUCACAUGUGUGGUGUGUAUUCUAAUCCAGCAUGCUAAAUGAUUAUUCCUGACUGACGAUUUUCCUGGUGUUGUGGAAGUGAGGACUACAGAAGCAGAUUGCUGAUUCAAAUAUGUUCCAGCAUUUCUUCUGUAGUGAUUUCACAGCCAGAUGAAGUCCGAGAUUCUGCAGUGCUGUCUAAUGUGCUCAUGGUUUAGUGCAGCCAGCUGAUAAAUGGUGUGGUGAGCUGCUGCAUUGUGCUGGUGUGGUGAGCUGCUGCUUAUUCUAACAGAUAUCAAAUAUAUUUUGUCUGCCUCAAUAGUAGAACUUAUUCCAAACUGAUAUCAUGGUAUCCUCAUUCCUAUACAUAUGAUUGUUUGUUUGAUUUUAUGGUGAGGUUUGAUUGGUUAGUGAAUAAUAAAUAACAUUUAUAUUAA